GACGAACGCUGGCGGCGUGCUUAACACAUGCAAGUCGAACGGAAAGGCCCCUUUGGGGGUACUCGAGUGGCGAACGGGUGAGUAACACGUGAGUAACCUGCCCUUGACUUCGGGAUAACUUCAGGAAACUGGGGCUAAUACCGGAUAGGAAUCCUUGCUGCAUGGUGGGGGUUGGAAAGCUUCGGCGGUUUUGGAUGGACUCGCGGCUUAUCAGCUUGUUGGUGGGGUAGUGGCUUACCAAGGCUUUGACGGGUAGCCGGCCUGAGAGGGCGACCGGCCACAUUGGGACUGAGAUACGGCCCAGACUCCUACGGGAGGCAGCAGUGGGGAAUAUUGCACAAUGGGCGGAAGCCUGAUGCGGCAACGCCGCGUGCGGGAUGACGGCCUUCGGGUUGUAAACCGCGUUCAGCAGGGGCGAAGCUUGUGGUGACGGUACCUGCAGAAGAAGCACCGGCUAACUACGUG
rnacentral:rRNA from 1 species